UACGUAGGGUGCAAGCGUUGUCCGGAAUUAUUGGGCGUAAAGAGCUCGUAGGCGGUUUGUCGCGUCUGCUGUGAAAACCCGAGGCUCAACCUCGGGCCUGCAGUGGGUACGGGCAGACUAGAGUGCGGUAGGGGAGAUUGGAAUUCCUGGUGUAGCGGUGGAAUGCGCAGAUAUCAGGAGGAACACCAAUGGCGAAGGCAGAUCUCUGGGCCGUAACUGACGCUGAGGAGCGAAAGCAUGGGGAGCGGACAGG
rnacentral:rRNA from 1 species